CUCUGAGUGCAGGUGACAGUUGUGUGGCUUGGGCAGUUUGUGGGGCCUCUGGCAGUGGGACCAGGAUUUAUCCCCAGUGCAUGAACAGGCUUUUUGGAGCCCAUUCCCUAUGGAGGGAUGCCAUGCUCAGCCUUGAUGCAGGGGGGAGGGCUUGGUCCUGCCUCAAUUUGAUAUGCCAGACUUUGCUGAUUCCUCACAGGAGGCCUUAUCCUCUCUGAGCAGUGGAUGGAGCAGGGUAGGAAAACUCCACAACGUUUGGCCGGUCCUCCACACCAUGAGAAGGAACCCAUAUCCUACACUGCCUUGGUAACCAAGAACCAGAGAUGAAACAGCCCAGAGACCUAGGCUUUUGAACAGAUUUCAACACAAAAGCAUUUAGCAAAACAGGAGACUCACUAUUGUGAACUCAGGUGAAGUCAAAGACAAAAUAUCAGAUGCGAGGAAAACUGAGUAAUGAUUAUGAGCCUGACAUCAUGGAAUGGAUUUUACAGAUAUCGUCUCACUUAGAACUG